rnacentral:rRNA from 1 species
AACGAACGCUGGCGGCAUGCCUAACACAUGCAAGUCGAACGAAGCCUUCGGGCUUAGUGGCGCACGGGUGCGUAACACGUGGGAAUCUGCCCUUCGGUUCGGAAUAACAGUUAGAAAUGACUGCUAAUACCGGAUGAUGACGAAAGUCCAAAGAUUUAUCGCCGAAGGAUGAGCCCGCGUAGGAUUAGGUAGUUGGUAGGGUAAUGGCCUACCAAGCCGACGAUCCUUAGCUGGUCUGAGGGGAUGAUCAGCCACACUGGGACUGAGACACGGCCCAGACUCCUACGGGAGGCAGCAGUGGGGAAUAUUGGACAAUGGGCGAAAGCCUGAUCCAGCAAUGCCGCGUGAGUGAUGAAGGCCUUAGGGUUGUAAAGCUCUUUUACCAGGGAUGAUAAUGACAGUACCUGGAGAAUAAGCUCCGGCUAACUCCGUG